rnacentral:rRNA from 1 species
UACGAAGGGGGCUAGCGUUGUUCGGAUUUACUGGGCGUAAAGAGCUCGUAGGCGGUUCAGUAAGUCGGGUGUGAAAACUCUGGGCUCAACCCAGAGAUGCCAGCCCGAUACUGCUGUGACUUGAGUACGGUGAGGGGAGGCAAGGAAUUCCUGGUGUAGCGGUGAAAUGCGCAGAGUAUCAGGAGGAACACCGGUGGCGAAGGCGCUGCUCUGGGCCGAAACUGACGCUGGAGGAGCGAAAGCGUGGGUAGCAAACAGG